UCUCCGCGCCACCGGCCAUCUCCGCGCCGCACCGCCCAUCUCCGCAAGUUGUGAAUAGGAAAGUGUGAAGUUAAUGUAUCAAGAUAACAUAUCAAUGGAGGUGGAGGGACGUGAGGAAAUGACUCCGAUUACGGAAUUGGAGUUUUCUAACGAUGAAAUUGAAGAAGAGGCACCCCCUACCUCGAGUGCCACAAAUAAGAAUCAACUUUUAGUACAUCGGGUCGUGUGCUUGAUGGCUUUCGGAGUUCUUUAACUCCAAAAGUAGUGGAAGCUUUGAUUUGCACUCAAGAUUGGUUGAGAGCCGCUCGUGUACCGCUUGAUGUUGAAGAGUGUAUUGAGAACGCCGAACAAUUUGAGUUGGAUAUGGUUGGUCUUAAUGCGGAGAUUAUGAUCGAUAAAUAAAGUUGGUGGUAUCGCACUUGCAAUGGAUCCAACGGUUGAGAAGUCAA